UGGGGAAUAUUGCGCAAUGGGGGAAACCCUGACGCAGCAACGCCGCGUGAGUGAAGAAGGCCUUCGGGUUGUAAAGCUCUUUAAUCAGGGACGAAGAAUGACGGUACCUGAAGAAUAAGCUCCGGCUAACUACGUGCCAGCAGCCGCGGUAAUACGUAGGGAGCAAGCGUUAUCCGGAUUUACUGGGUGUAAAGGGCGUGUAGGCGGGCCUGCAAGUCAGAAGUGAAAUCUGGGGGCUUAACCCCCAAACUGCUUUUGAAACUGUGGGUCUUGAGUGAUGGAGAGGCAGGCGGAAUUCCCAGU
rnacentral:rRNA from 1 species